rnacentral:lncRNA from 1 species
AUGAAUCUUGUUUAUGUAGUACUAUCCAAUUGUAGAGAGAAGUGUUUACCUGCUUGUUUAUUAAUUUACAGUUGUGUUCCCCAGCUGCAAUCAGAGCAGUUUCUCUUUCAGAAGUUUAUUAAAAGCAAGCAUCAAAGAGAAGGUCUUCCACCAAGGGCUGGGAAAUGCAUAAAGCUCUUCCCUGUAGGAGGAGUGGUAUCUCCCAUAUGCAUCUGUAGAAAAUUGUUGGAAAGUGUUCUACAAAGACCAAGAGAAAUGUCAAAGGCAAGUGCAGAGAGUGAACAUGACUAUGUGGGAAGAAGAGUGAAGAUUCAUGCCCAGAAAACAUUAUUCUUACCUCACACCAGUUUUACUUCGUGUUACUUCGUUGAACAUGCUAGGAUGAGAUCAGCUAGCUGUACAGUGAGAUGUGACGAUCAGGAUAUUUACAGCAUGGGAUGUGACCUUCGGCUGCCCUGGAGUUCACCGUACUCUGUGACUGUGCGGGACCAUACAUGAUCUGAAAUAGAAAACCUGACCAUAGCUAUCUGAAUGGAAGACUUUGGGCUGGGUGUUGCACAAAAAAAAAAAAAAUUGUGUACUCUCAGGUCUGUGGUAGAAAAUUUCUCCAAGGUGCAAGAUGACCUCAGAAACAUUCUCAUGUUUGCGCUGUUUUUGUUUGUUUCUGUUUUAUUUGUUAUUUCUGAAAAGAGGGAAAUAAGAAUUUACAGAUUUUUCUUUUUUUUCUUCAGAAAUAAAAUAUAAUCAUGUCACA